rnacentral:rRNA from 1 species
GACGAACGCUGGCGGCGUGCUUAACACAUGCAAGUCGAACGGAACCUUCGGGUUUAGUGGCGAACGGGUGAGUAAAGCGCAGGUAAUCUGCCGCAAAGUUGGGGACAACGUUCCGAAAGGGACGCUAAUACCGAAUGUUGUGCGGAGUUCGCAUGAGCAUCGCAUUAAAGAUUUAUCGCUUUGCGAGGAGCCUGCGUCCGAUUAGGCAGUUGGCGGGGUAAGAGCCCACCAAACCGACGAUCGGUAGCCGGUCUGAGAGGAUGAACGGCCACAAUGGAACUGAGACACGGUCCAUACUCC